rnacentral:rRNA from 1 species
AUGAAUCCAAGUCCAUCCAUCCUUUGUUGGAAUGUGAGGGGUUUAAACAACCCAGCCAAGAAAGAUGCGGUCAGGGAGUUUGUAGCCAAUAUCAAAGUGAACGUAGUCUGUCUCUAGGAGACUAAAUUGGAUGUAAUCAAUCGCUAUAUUGUUAUGCAAUGCUUAGGGCCGUCUUUUGACGGUUUUGCUUACGUACCGGCGGUGGAGACCAGAGGUGGUAUCUUGCUAGCUUGGGAUACGACCAUCAUGGAGAUUGAUCACUUUCAGCGCGGCAAUGACUUUAUCACGGGCCAGGUCCACACCCGUUCAGGGGCGAGUUGGUGGCUAACUGUGGUCUACGGACUGCAAGGAGACGCGCUUAAAACUGCACUCCUAGAAUAA